AUGGCUUCCAUAUUUUUCGUUAUCGUUGUGUGUAUUUAUUUGUUUGUUGCAUUUCAUCAUAAAACCCCAGCGCCCAUGUCCUGUUCCGGCAACUAA
rnacentral:rRNA from 1 species